UACGAGGGGGGCGAGCGUUGUUCGGAGUUACUGGGCGUAAAGGGUGUGUAGGCGGUUUUCUAAGUUUGGUGUGAAAUCUCCCGGCUCAACCGGGAGGGUGCGCCGAAAACUGGGAGACUAGAGUGCGGGAUGGGAGAGUAGAAUUCCUGGUGUAGCGGUGAAAUGCGUAGAUAUCAGGAGGAAUACCGGUGGUGUAGACGGCUCUCUGGACCGCCACUGACGCUGAGACACGAAAGCGUGGGUAGCAAACAGG
rnacentral:rRNA from 1 species